GAGUUUGAUCAUGGCUCAGAAUCAACGCUGGCGGCGUGCCUAACACAUGCAAGUCGAACGAGAAAGUGGAGCAAUCCAUGAGUAAAGUGGCGACCGGGUGAGUAACACGUGACUAACCUACCCUCGAGUGGGGAAUAACGCCGGGAAACCGGCGCUAAUACCGCAUAACAUCGCAAGAUCAAAGCAGCAAUGCGCUUGAGGAGGGGGUCGCGGCCGAUUAGUUAGUUGGUAGGGUAAUGGCCUACCAAGACGAAGAUCGGUAGCCGGCCUGAGAGGGCGCACGGCCACACUGGAACUGAAACACGGUCCAGACUCCUACGGGAGGCAGCAGUGGGGAAUUUUGCGCAAUGGGGGAAACCCUGACGCAGCAACGCCGCGUGGAGGAUGAAGUCCCUUGGGACGUAAACUCCUUUCGACCGGGACGAUAAUGACGGUACCGGUGGAAGAAGCCCCGGCUAACUUCGUGCCAGCAGCCGCAGU
rnacentral:rRNA from 1 species